rnacentral:sRNA from 1 species
GCCAGGAACAGUGGCUCAUACCUGUAGUCCUGGCUACUCUGGAGGGUGAGGCAGGUGUUUUGCUUGAGUCUAAGAGUUCAUCUGGGGAUGUAGCUCAGUGCUAAAGUACUUGCCUAGCAUGCACUGGACAAUGUAGCAAGACCCUAUCUCAA